rnacentral:rRNA from 1 species
AAUCUUCCGCAAUGGACGCAAGUCUGACGGAGCAACGCUUCUUGUACGACGAAGGCCUUCGGGUUGUAAAGUACUGUCUUUAGGGACGAACGGCAGGACUGUGAAUAAUGCUUCUGCAUGACGGUACCUGAGGAGUAAGACCCUGCUAACUACGUGCCAGCAGCCGCGGUAAUACGUAGGGGGCAAGCGUUGUCCGGAAUCAUUGGGCGUAAAGGGCGCGUAGGCGGAUGAUUAAGUCUGGUGUGAAAACCUAGGGCUCAACCCUGGGAGUGCAUCGGAAACUGGUUAUCUUGAGGACAGGAGAGGAAAGUGGAAUUACACGUGUAGCGGUGAAAUGCGUAGAUAUGUGGAGGAACACCAGUGGCGAAGGCGACUUUCUGGACUGUAACUGACGCUGAGGCGCGAAAGCGUGGGGAGCAAACCGG